rnacentral:rRNA from 1 species
UACGAAGGGGGCUAGCGUUGUUCGGAAUCACUGGGCGUAAAGCGCACGUAGGCGGAUUGCUAAGUCAGGGGUGAAAUCCUGGAGCUCAACUCCAGAACUGCCUUUGAUACUGGCGAUCUCGAGUCCGGGAGAGGUGAGUGGGAACUGCGAAGUGUAGAGGUGAAAUUCGUAGAUAUUCGCAAGAACACCAGUGGCGAAGGCGGCUCACUGGCCCGGUACUGACGCUGAGGUGGCGAAAGCGUGGGGAGCAAACA